rnacentral:rRNA from 1 species
AACGAACGCUGGCGGCAUGCCUAACACAUGCAAGUCGAACGAGACCUUCGGGUCUAGUGGCGCACGGGUGCGUAACGCGUGGGAACCUGCCCUUAGGUUCGGAAUAACUCCCCGAAAGGGGUGCUAAUACCGGAUAAUGUCUUCGGACCAAAGAUUUAUCGCCUUUGGAUGGGCCCGCGUUGGAUUAGCUAGUUGGUAGGGUAAAAGCCUACCAAGGCGACGAUCCAUAGCUGGUCUGAGAGGAUGAUCAGCCACACUGGGACUGAGACACGGCCCAGACUCCUACGGGAGGCAGCAGUGGAGAAUAUUGGACAAUGGGCGAAAGCCUGAUCCAGCAAUGCCGCGUGAGUGAUGAAGGCCUUAGGGUUGUAAAGCUCUUCUACCCGGGAUGAUAAUGACAGUACCGGGAGAAUAAGCUCCGGCUAACUCCGUG